rnacentral:rRNA from 1 species
AGUCUGGUGCCAGCAGCCGCGGUAAUUCCAGCUCCGCAAGUGUAUAUCUAUGUUGCUGCGGUUAAAAAGCUCGUAGUUGGAUCUGCGUGUUUAGCGUCCGGUUCGACUUUUGGUCGUUACUGGAACGCGACACAGAUGUGCUGGUUUGCCGUUGAUGCUCUUAACCGGGUGUCAGUGGCGGCUAGCGAGUUUACUUUGAAAAAAUUAGAGUGCUCAAAACAGGCGUUUCGCCUGAAUAUUUCUGCAUGGAAUAAUAGAAUAGGACUUCGAUUCUAUUCUGUUGGUUUUCGGAAUGCGAAGUAAUGAUUAAGAGGGACAGACGGGGGCAUUCGUACUGCGACGUUAGAGGUGAAAUUCUUGGAUCGUCGCAAGACGUACUACUGCGAAGGCAUUUGCCAAGAAUGUUUUCAUUAAUCAAGAACGAAAGUUAUGGGUUCGAAGGCGAUCAGAUACCGCCCUAGUCAUAACCGUAAACGAUUCAAACUGGGCGCCCGACGGUGUUUUUAUUGACCCGUCGGGAACCCUCCCGGAAACGAAAGUGUUCGUGUUCCGGGGGAAAUAUGUCUGCAAAGAGGAAACUUAAAGGAAUUGACGGAAGGGCACCACCAGGGGUGGAGCCUGCGGCUUAAUUUGACCCAACACGGGGAAACUCACCCGGCCCGGACACCGUAAGGAUUGGCAGAUUGAGAGCUCUUUCUUGAUUCGGUGGGUGGUGGUGCAUGGCCGUUCUUAGUUGGUGGAGUGAUUUGUCUGGUUUAUUCCGAUAACGAACGAGACUCUGGCCUGCUAACUAGUGUUCACAUCUUUACGUGUGCUUCGCUUCUUAGAGGGACAGGCGGCUUCCAGCCGCAUGAAGAAGAGCAAUAACAGGUCUGUGAUGCCCUUAGAUGUCCGGGGCUGCACGCGCGCUACACUGAAAGAAUCAGCGUGUACGUUACCUGGCUCGAAAGAGUCGGGUAAUCCGGUGAAAAUCUUUCGUGAUUGGGAUCGGGACUUGCAAUUAUUUCCCUUGAACGAGGAAUCCCUAGUAAGUGCGGGUCAUCAGCUCGCGCUGAUUACGUCCCUGCCCUUUGUACACACCGCCCGUCGCUGCCCGGAACUGAGCCGUUUCGAGAAAAAUGGGGACUGUCUACUUGAGGUCUUCACGGACUUUUUGUAAAUGGAAACCGCUUUAAUCGCAGCGGCUUGAACCGGGCAAAAGUCGUAACAAGGUUUCCGUAGGUGAACCUGCGGAAG